UACGGAGGGGACUAGCGUUGUUCGGAAUUACUGGGCGUAAAGCGCACGUAGGCGGAUUUGUAAGUCAGGGGUGAAAUCCCGAGGCUCAACCUCGGAACUGCCUUUGAUACUGCAAAUCUCGAGUCCGGAAGAGGUGAGUGGAAUUCCUAGUGUAGAGGUGAAAUUCGUAGAUAUUCGCAAGAACACCAGUGGCGAAGGCGGCUCACUGGCCCGAUACUGACGCUGAGGCACGAAAGCGUGGGGAGCAAACAGG
rnacentral:rRNA from 1 species